CCUACGGGUGCACCAGUAGGGAAUAUUGCUCAAUGGGCGAAAGCCUGAAGCAGCAACGCCGCGUGUGUGAUGAAGGCCUUCGGGUCGUAAAGCACUUUUCUGGGAGAUGAGAAAGGACAGUAUCCCAGGAAUAAGUCUCGGCUAACUACGUGCCAGCAGCCGCGGUAAAACGUAGGAGGCAAGCGUUAUCCGGAUUUACUGGGCGUAAAGCGCGUGCAGGUGGCGCGGUAAGUUGGGCGUGAAAUCUCCCGGCUCAACUGGGAGAGGUCGUUCAAUACUACCGUGCUUGAGAGCAGAAGAGGAAGAUGGAAUUCCCGGUGUAGUGGUGAAAUGCGUAGAUAUCGGGAGGAACACCAGUGGCGAAGGCGAUCUUCUGGUCUGUUUCUGACACUCAGACGCGACAGCUAGGGUAGUAAACGGGAUUAGAUACCCGAGUAGUC
rnacentral:rRNA from 1 species